UACAGAGGUCCCAAGCGUUGUUCGGAUUCACUGGGCGUAAAGGGUGCGCAGGUGGUCGGGUAAGUCUGAUGUGAAAUCCCGCAGCUUAACUGCGGAAUGGCAUUGGAUACUAUUCGGCUAGAGGGUUGGAGGGGGACUGGAAUUCUCGGUGUAGCAGUGAAAUGCGUAGAGAUCGGGAGGAACACCGGUGGCGAAGGCGGGUCUCCGGGCAAUUCCUGACGCUGAUGCGCGAAAGCCAGGGGAGCGAACGGG
rnacentral:rRNA from 1 species